CAGUGGGGAAGUAUUGCACAAUGGGGGAAACCCUGAUGUCAGCCAUGCCGCGUGUGUGUAAGAAGGCUUCGGGUUGUAAAGCACUUUCAGUAGGGAGGAAGGUAGUGUAGUUAACACCUGCAUUAUUUGACGUUACCUACAGAAGAAGCACCGGCUAACUCCGUGCCAGCAGCCGCGGUAAUACGGAGGGUGCGAGCGUUAAUCGGAAUUACUGGGCGUAAAGCGCAUGCAGGCGGCCUGUUAAGUCAGAUGUGAAAGCCCGGGGCUUAACCUCGGAAUUGCAUUUGAAACUGGCAGGCUAGAGUCUUGUAGAGGGGGUAGAAUUUCAGGUGUAGCGGUGAAAAUGCGUAGAGAUCUGAAGGAAUACCAGUGGCGAAGGCGGCCCCCUGGACAAAGACUGACGCUCAGAUGCGAAAGCGUGGGGAGCAAACAGGAUUAGAUACCCUGGUAG
rnacentral:rRNA from 1 species